GUGGCUGCUGGCCCGGCUCAACCACCAGCUGGUGAUGCUGGGGCCGCAGCCGAUGCGGUGGGUCGUCAUGUUCUACCUGAUGGCCACG
rnacentral:tRNA from 1 species